rnacentral:sRNA from 1 species
UGACUGUGUGAGCAACACCCCCCACACCUCAGUAGCAAAAACAGAGAACAGUGGCAGCACAUCGUGGGCUGACUGCAGUUGAUUCUGGCUUUCUUACAUGAGAAUGCCAAGUCAUACAAGAAAGUGCCUGCCACGCUGAGCUUCUCUUUACCUUCUUGGGUUUUAAUGGAAUUGCAAGUUAUCAGUAUAAAAACUCAUAUUAGUUAUACUAAAUAGUGGGACCAAGUUAAGAUAUUAGGUUGUUAUGUAGUGUGCAUUUUAAAGUAAAACAAAUGAUAGAGCUUUUAGAAGCAUGUAUUAGGAAAAUGUUCCUUGAAGUCUGUGCCUUAUGAAUCUAAUAAGCUUUUGCUUUUAUAUCAGGUUAUCUGUGCUACAAUUGCAUUUGGAAUGGGGAUUGACAAACCGGACGUGCGAUUUGUGAUUCAUGCAUCUCUCCCUAAAUCUAUGGAGGGUUACUACCAAGAAUCUGGCAGAGCUGGAAGAGAUGGGGAAAUGUCUCACUGCCUGCUUUUCUAUACCUAUCAUGAUGUGACCAGACUGAAAAGACUUAUAAUGAUGGAAAAAGAUGGAAACCAUCAUACAAGAGAAACUCACUUCAAUAAUUUGUAUAGCAUGGUACAUUACUGUGAAAAUAUAACAGAAUGCAGGAGAAUACAGCUUUUGGCCUACUUUGGUGAAAAUGGAUUUAAUCCUGAUUUUUGUAAGAAACACCCAGAUGUUUCUUGUGAUAAUUGCUGUAAAACAAAG